rnacentral:rRNA from 1 species
AUGAACGCUGGCGGCGUGCCUAAUACAUGCAAGUCGAACGAGCUCUUCGGAGCUAGUGGCGGACGGGUGAGUAACACGUUGGUACCUACCCCGAAGUGGGGAAUAACUGGCCGAAAGGUCGGCUAAUACCGCAUAAUACCGCAAGGUUAAAGCAGUAAUGCGCUUCGGGAGGGGCCUGCGUCCCAUUAGCUUGUUGGUAGUGUAAUGGACUACCAAGGCGACGAUGGGUAGCUGGAUCGAGAGGUUGACCAGCCACACUGGGACUGAGAUACGGCCCAGACUCCUACGGGAGGCAGCAGUAAGGAAUCUUCCACAAUGGACGAAAGUCUGAUGGAGCAACGCCGCGUGCAGGAUGACGGCCUUCGGGUUGUAAACUGCUUUUAUAUGGGAAGAUUAUGACGGUACCAUAUGAAUAAGGACCGGCUAACUACGUGCCAGCCGCCGCCGUAACAC